CCCAGAUGGGAUUAGCUAGUAGGUGGGGUAAAGGCUCACCUAGGCGACGAUCCCUAGCUGGUCUGAGAGGAUGACCAGCCACACUGGAACUGAGACACGGUCCAGACUCCUACGGGAGGCAGCAGUGGGGAAUAUUGCACAAUGGGCGCAAGCCUGAUGCAGCCAUGCCGCGUGUAUGAAGAAGGCCUUCGGGUUGUAAAGUACUUUCAGCGGGGAGGAAGGGAGUAAAGUUAAUACCUUUGCUCAUUGACGUUACCCGCAGAAGAAGCACCGGCUAACUCCGUGCCAGCAGCCGCGGUAAUACGGAGGGUGCAAGCGUUAAUCGGAAUUACUGGGCGUAAAGCGCACGCAGGCGGUUUGUUAAGUCAGAUGUGAAAUCCCCGGGCUCAACCUGGGAACUGCAUCUGAUACUGGCAAGCUUGAGUCUCGUAGAGGGGGGUAGAAUUCCAGGUGUAGCGGUGAAAUGCGUAGAGAUCUGGAGGAAUACCGGUGGCGAAGGCGGCCCCC
rnacentral:rRNA from 1 species